GCGUUCUGUAAGCCUGUGAAGGUGACCUGUGAGGGUUGCUGGAGGUAUCAGAAGUGCGAAUGCUGACAUAAGUAACGAUAAUGCGGGUGAAAAACCCGCACGCCGGAAGACCAAGGGUUCCUGUCCAACGUUAAUCGGGGCAGGGUGAGUCGACCCCUAAGGCGAGGCUGAAAAGCGUAGUCGAUGGGCAACGGGUUAAUAUUCCCGUACUGGUGGUAACUGCGAAGGGGGGACGGAGAAAGCUAAAUCAUCCGGGCGACGGUUGUCCCGGUUUAAGCGUGCAGGUGGACUGACCAGGCAAAUCCGGUCGGUUGUUAACACUGAGGCGUGACGACGAGCCACUACGGUGGUGAAGUGAUUGAUGCUCUGCUUCCGGGAAAAGCCUCUAAGCUCCAGGUUACCAUUAAUCGUACCCCAAACCGACACAGGUGGUCAGGUAGAGAAUACUCAGGCGCUUGAGAGAACUCGGGUGAAGGAACUAGGCAAAAUGGUGCCGUAACUUCGGGAGAAGGC
rnacentral:rRNA from 1 species